CUUCCGGUCAAGCCGCCAAAAACCUUUAUCGAAAUGAAUUGGAAUAUUUCUACAAUCUAGAGUCUCUAAUCUAAUCAAAGCAAAGGUCCAUUACGUGGACAUGUUUAUUUCUUCCUAC